rnacentral:rRNA from 1 species
GACGAACGCUGGCGGCGUGCCUAAUACAUGCAAGUUGAGCGAUGAAGAUUGGUGCUUGCACCAAUUUGAAGAGCAGCGAACGGGUGAGUAACGCGUGGGGAAUCUGCCUUUGAGCGGGGGACAACAUUUGGAAACGAAUGCUAAUACCGCAUAACAACUUUAAACAUAAGUUUUAAGUUUGAAAGAUGCAAUUGCAUCACUCAAAGAUGAUCCCGCGUUGUAUUAGCUAGUUGGUGAGGUAAAGGCUCACCAAGGCGAUGAUACAUAGCCGACCUGAGAGGGUGAUCGGCCACAUUGGGACUGAGACACGGCCCAAACUCCUGCGGGAGGCAGCAGGAGGGAAUCUUGGGCAAUGGACGAAAGUCUGACCGAGCAACGCCGCGUGAGUGAAGAAGGGUGUCGUAUCGUAAAACUCGGUUGGUAGAGAAGAACGUUGGUGAGAGUGGAAAGCUCAUCAAGUGACGGUAACUACCCAGAAAGGGACGGCUAACUACGUG